rnacentral:rRNA from 1 species
GUUAAGCGACUAAGCGUACACGGUGGAUGCCCUGGCAGUCAGAGGCGAUGAAGGGCGUGCUAAUCUGCGAUAAGCGCCGGUAAGGUGAUAUGAACCGUUAUAACCGGCGAUACCCGAAUGGGGAAACCCAGUGUGAUUCGUCACACUAUCAUUAACUGAAUCCAUAGGUUAAUGAGGCGAACCGGGGGAACUGAAACAUCUAAGUACCCCGAGGAAAAGAAAUCAACCGAGAUUCCCCCAGUAGCGGCGAGCGAACGGGGAGGAGCCCAGAGCCUGAAUCAGCAUGUGUGUUAGUGGAAGCGUCUGGAAAGGCGCGCGAUACAGGGUGACAGCCCCGUACACAAAAGCGCAUGUGCUGUGAGCUCGAUGAGUAGGGCGGGACACGUGGUAUCCUGUCUGAAUAUGGGGGGACCAUCCUCCAAGGCUAAAUACUCCUGACUGACCGAUAGUGAACCAGUACCGUGAGGGAAAGGCGAAAAGAACCCCGGCGAGGGGAGUGAAAAAGAACCUGAAACCGUGUACGUACAAGCAGUGGGAGCACAGGUUUACCUGUGUGACUGCGUACCUUUUGUAUAAUGGGUCAGCGACUUAUAUUCUGUAGCAAGGUUAACCGAAUAGGGGAGCCGGAGGGAAACCGAGUCUUAAUUGGGCGUUAAGUUGCAGGGUAUAGACCCGAAACCCGGUGAUCUAGCCAUGGGCAGGUUGAAGGUUGGGUAACACUAACUGGAGGACCGAACCGACUAAUGUUGAAAAAUUAGCGGAUGACCUGUGGCUGGGGGUGAAAGGCCAAUCAAACCGGGAGAUAGCUGGUUCUCCCCGAAAGCUAUUUAGGUAGCGCCUCGUGAAUUCAUCUCCGGGGGUAGAGCACUGUUUCGGCUAGGGGGCCAUCCCGGCUUACCAACCCGAUGCAAACUGCGAAUACCGGAGAAUGUUAUCACGGGAGACACACGGCGGGUGCUAACGUCCGUCGUGAAGAGGGAAACAACCCAGACCGCCAGCUAAGGUCCCAAAGUCAUGGUUAAGUGGGAAACGAUGUGGGAAGGCCCAGACAGCCAGGAUGUUGGCUUAGAAGCAGCCAUCAUUUAAAGAAAGCGUAAUAGCUCACUGGUCGAGUCGGCCUGCGCGGAAGAUGUAACGGGGCUAAACCAUGCACCGAAGCUGCGGCAGCGAACGUAUCACUUAAAGCGAUUCAGCGGGUUACGAUUGACGGAGCGAAGCGACGUCAAAGCGUAUACAAAGUCGAGUCGGUUUAAGGAUACGUUCGUUGGGUAGGGGAGCGUUCUGUAAGCCUGUGAAGGUGGCCUGUGAGGGUUGCUGGAGGUAUCAGAAGUGCGAAUGCUGACAUAAGUAACGAUAAAGCGGGUGAAAAGCCCGCUCGCCGGAAGACCAAGGGUUCCUGUCCAACGUUAAUCGGGGCAGGGUGAGUCGACCCCUAAGGCGAGGCCGAAAGGCGUAGUCGAUGGGAAACAGGUUAAUAUUCCUGUACUUGGUGUUACUGCGAAGGGGGGACGGAGAAGGCUAUGUUGGCCGGGCGACGGUUGUCCCGGUUUAAGCGUGUAGGCUGGUUUUCCAGGCAAAUCCGGAAAAUCAAGGCUGAGGCGUGAUGACGAGGCACUACGGUGCUGAAGCAACAAAUGCCCUGCUUCCAGGAAAAGCCUCUAAGCAUCAGGUAACAUCAAAUCGUACCCCAAACCGACACAGGUGGUCAGGUAGAGAAUACCAAGGCGCUUGAGAGAACUCGGGUGAAGGAACUAGGCAAAAUGGUGCCGUAACUUCGGGAGAAGGCACGCUGACACGUAGGUGAAGUGAUUUACUCAUGGAGCUGAAGUCAGUCGAAGAUACCAGCUGGCUGCAACUGUUUAUUAAAAACACAGCACUGUGCAAACACGAAAGUGGACGUAUACGGUGUGACGCCUGCCCGGUGCCGGAAGGUUAAUUGAUGGGGUCAGCGCAAGCGAAGCUCCUGAUCGAAGCCCCGGUAAACGGCGGCCGUAACUAUAACGGUCCUAAGGUAGCGAAAUUCCUUGUCGGGUAAGUUCCGACCUGCACGAAUGGCGUAAUGAUGGCCAGGCUGUCUCCACCCGAGACUCAGUGAAAUUGAACUCGCUGUGAAGAUGCAGUGUACCCGCGGCAAGACGGAAAGACCCCGUGAACCUUUACUAUAGCUUGACACUGAACAUUGAGCCUUGAUGUGUAGGAUAGGUGGGAGGCUUUGAAGUGUGGACGCCAGUCUGCAUGGAGCCGACCUUGAAAUACCACCCUUUAAUGUUUGAUGUUCUAACGUGGACCCGUGAUCCGGGUUGCGGACAGUGUCUGGUGGGUAGUUUGACUGGGGCGGUCUCCUCCUAAAGAGUAACGGAGGAGCACGAAGGUUGGCUAAUCCUGGUCGGACAUCAGGAGGUUAGUGCAAUGGCAUAAGCCAGCUUGACUGCGAGCGUGACGGCGCGAGCAGGUGCGAAAGCAGGUCAUAGUGAUCCGGUGGUUCUGAAUGGAAGGGCCAUCGCUCAACGGAUAAAAGGUACUCCGGGGAUAACAGGCUGAUACCGCCCAAGAGUUCAUAUCGACGGCGGUGUUUGGCACCUCGAUGUCGGCUCAUCACAUCCUGGGGCUGAAGUAGGUCCCAAGGGUAUGGCUGUUCGCCAUUUAAAGUGGUACGCGAGCUGGGUUUAGAACGUCGUGAGACAGUUCGGUCCCUAUCUGCCGUGGGCGCUGGAGAACUGAGGGGGGCUGCUCCUAGUACGAGAGGACCGGAGUGGACGCAUCACUGGUGUUCGGGUUGUCAUGCCAAUGGCACUGCCCGGUAGCUAAAUGCGGAAGAGAUAAGUGCUGAAAGCAUCUAAGCACGAAACUUGCCCCGAGAUGAGUUCUCCCUGAGACUUAGAGUCUCCUGAAGGAACGUUGAAGACGACGACGUUGAUAGGCCGGGUGUGUAAGCGCAGCGAUGCGUUGAGCUAACCGGUACUAAUGAACCGUGAGGCUUAACC